GUUGUCAUCGCGGUUGUGGCAGCCGGCUACGGCUAUGGUGGGUACGCAGGAUAUGGAGGCUAUGGCGGCUACGGUGGCUACGGCGGAUACGGUGGAUACGGCGGCUACGGUGGCUAUGGCGGAUAUGGCGGCUACGGCGGCUAUGGUCUCGGCGGUUACGGCGGCUAUGGUCUUGGCUACGGCGGA
rnacentral:lncRNA from 1 species